rnacentral:tRNA from 3 species
GGAGACGUCGCAUAGCCCGGUCGAGUGCGCCUCACUGCUAACGAGGUAAGGGGUUAAACCCUUCAGGAGUUCAAAUCUCCUCGUCUCCGC